UAAUACGGAGGGGGCAAGCGUUAUUCGGAUUUACUGGGCGUAAAGCGCACGUAGGUGGCAUGGUAAGUCAAAGGUGAAAGCCCUCGGCUCAACCGAGGAAUUGCCUUUGAAACUGCCUUGCUUGAGUCCGGGAGGGGGGAGCGGAAUUCCCAGUGUAGCGGUGAAAUGCGUAGAUACUGGGAGGAACACCGGUGGCGAAGGCGGCUCCCUGGACCGGUACUGACACUGAGGUGCGAAAGCGUGGGUAGCAAACAGGAUUAGAUACCCUGGUAGUCCACGCCGUAAACGAUGGGCACUAGGUGCAGCGGGUGUCGACCCCUGCUGUGCCGUAGUUAACGCAUUAAGUGCCCCGCCUGGGGAGUACGGUCGCAAGGCUG
rnacentral:rRNA from 1 species